ACCUAGCGUUGUUACGAGUAACAUCGGAAGCGUCCCAGUUGCAGUGAACAGGCUGAGGCGAGGCAGGUUAAGUGUCCCGAGAAACACGUGGUUGUGUCUGAGGCAGUCACUGUUCACUGGACUCGCCUCCCUGCCAUCUUGGUCUGAGGUACUUCCAAGUCGGCUGUUGAUAUUUUCGUCUCUCAACAAACACUCCUCAUCUGGAGGCUAAGCAAUAACCUCUCGGAAAAAGGGUCAACUGGUUCGACGGAGAGGAAACCUAGGCUUACCUAGCAGUCCACAGAUCGUGCAGUCUGCACCUGAUUCCGAAUCUCGCCUCGUCUUCUCACAAGACUUUCAGAACCAAGUGAUUCCUGGACCAAAAACAAGAGUAAAAUCGUCCUACUCCUCAUGGAUUCAGAUUAAAACUGGUAACAAAAUCAGGUACAACUCUAAGAGAAGACAGCAUAGGAGAACGAAGCUGGGUCUGUAAGGAUUCACACAGUGGCAAGACUGAAGGUUUAAACUGAAUUAUCAUCAUCAAUCAGUUCUACCAGAUGCAGUUUAACAUUUUUAACCUGGAGACUUGCUCAAGUCUAAAUUGGAGGUGUAGUUUGUCCAGUGAUAAAAUGUAGAACCUUUCAAAAAAAAAGUCUGAAAAUAGAUUUUCCACAUGACCAAUAUAUAGCACAAUUUAGUAUUUAUUCAAAAGACUCAAACCCCACAUGUCACAGAGAUGCUUGUACAUCAGUGCUUAUUGUAGCAGUAUUUACAAUAUCUAACUACGGAACCAACCCAGGUAAGGCCACACUGCUGAAGACACCACAUCCUUUGGAAACAGGACUUGGAGGAAUUGAGCUAGAACCGACCCGGGAAGCUUGUCACUGAGAACUGGUUCACGUUGAGGAGAAGGUUUAUGUAAGCUGCCAAGGGAGAGGAAGAACAGAAGUCCUGCCCAGCUGUGAAGCCUAUGAACCACGACAAUGACUGGAUUGGCAAGAUAUCCCCAGUGGUGCAGCAGUGACACUUUGAUCUCAGGGUUAAUCAACAGCUGUGACUAAAGGCUCACUCAGUAGGAGGAACUAGCCAUGUAUCUGUAGAUGAAGAGGCCAUAGAUCCGUGUCUCAGUUAGGGUUUUACUGCUGUGAACAGAUACCAUGGCCAAGAUAACUCUCAUAAAGGACAACAUUUAAUUGGGGCUGGCUUACAGGUUCAGAGGUUUAGUCCAGUAUCGUAAAGAUGGGAGCGUGGCAGCAUCCAGGCAUACAUGGGACUGGGGGUGCUGAGAGUUCUACAUCUUCAUCCAAAGGCAGACAGAAGACUGGCUCCCAUGUGGUUAGGAGGAAGAUCUCAUUGCUCAUCCACAUAGUGACACACUUCCUCCAACAAAGCCACACCUACUCCAACCAGGCCACACCUCCUAAUUGUGCCACUCCCUGGGCCAAGCAUAUUCCAACCACCACAACCUGGGAGCAGAACCUAUUGCCAGGUUCUUAAACCAAUAUAAUUUAUAACUGUAUUUUAAAUAGUUAUCCUGGUACCCACAGGAAAGUGUAGCUGUCACCCCUCAUCAAAGAAGCCUCCUUUUGCAGCAGAUAGAGACUGUUACAGAAAUGUACAAAUGGUCAAAAUGUGGGGAAUAGACAGGGUGGGGCGGAGGAGGGGAGGACAGCUCCAACUGACACAUCAGCAAUACAACCCCUACACUGAAGGAAGGCUCAGGGAAACACAGCAGAGGAUGGGACAGAAUGGUUGUGAAGUCCAGAUGCUUAGAAUGGCUGCUGCUACAUAUUGUCCCCUAGACAUAACCGGGAAAAUGUCCCCAUGAAAUCGUAACAGUAUGGUUACCUGACCAAGGCUGUCACGGCAGCACCAGUUGACAUGCCAGUGUGUACAAAGGAAAUUGCAUGUAGCCUUACUGAGAGAUGAACAGCUACUUGUGGUCAACAGCAGCUGAGAGAUACACGCUUUCUCCAUUGAUGAAUUCUGUACUGGAUGUCCAGUCCCAACCGUGCAGCCCCAG
rnacentral:lncRNA from 1 species